rnacentral:rRNA from 1 species
UACAGAGGGGGCAAGCGUUAUUCGGAAUUAUUGGGCGUAAAGGGCGCGUAGGCGGCCUGCUAAGUCGAACGUGAAAUCCCUGGGCUCAACCCAGGAACUGCGUCCGAUACUGGUUGGCUUGAAUCCGGGAGAGGGAUGUGGAAUUCCAGGUGUAGCGGUGAAAUGCGUAGAUAUCUGGAGGAACACCGGUGGCGAAGGCGACAUCCUGGACCGGUAUUGACGCUGAGGCGCGAAAGCCAGGGGAGCAAACGGG